ensembl:lncRNA
CAGGGUUUUUCAGCUGCAAAAGGCCACAGGUGCUGCCUAGGAAAAGUUGGACAGUGGGGUAGCUUGGCCUGAGCCCAGGGCAAUAGCAGGAUGGCCAUGGCCCAGCCAGGUGACAGCUGUCAGACCACUAGCAAGACAGCUUCAGAAUGAGAGCUCAUUGCCAGAAAGAUCAAGAUCUGAUAAGAAGCUUGCAGAUUUUAGCUCCAUCCUCUGGACCUUUAUGCUGCCACAAGGUAUUUUGUCUCAGGAAUACAACGCUGACACACAGUCUGUGCUUAAAGCAGUUGGGGAACAAAAACAGAAAUAUUAGAGUAAACUUCAAGGAGAUGGCAGAAAGGAAUGUUUUCACAGAUAUUGAAGCAGCAGCACUAGUUACCCGAGGCCAAAGACUCCAAGGCUGUGGAAGAGUGGGG